rnacentral:lncRNA from 1 species
GGGUCGAAUUUGAUCGUAGGUGUCUUAAGACCUGAUUUAUGAGGUCUUAAGAUGGCUAACUCAGGGUUUGGACUGAGAUUCAGUUCAUAGGAUAAGGACAUACAAGACUUGGGCUUGGGUGAGUGCUUUUAUAUAUGGGUUAGUCUAGGAAGUUUUUUGGGCUUGGAUUUUUUAACCUGUUGUAAUUGGUAUAUAUAUAGGUCUUGUAAUAUCAAGAAAAAGAGAGAAUGAAUAACAGAGC